rnacentral:rRNA from 1 species
AAUUUUAAAAAUUAUUAUUUUUUUGAUUUAAAUUUUAUAAAUAUAAUUAAAAUAAUUUUAAUAAUUAAUAAGUUUUAGUAUUUUUUAAAGAUAAAAUUUUAUUAUUUAUAGUUUAUUAUGUAUUGUGAAAGAAUUUUGAAAAAUUUUGAAAAUUAAAUUUUUGAAAAGUAAAUUUUAUUUUUUGUACCUUGUGUAUCAGGGUUAAUUAAUUAAAAAUUAUUUUAAAAUUAAUUUUCUCGAAUUUAAAAGAUCUAUUUAUUUAUUAUUUUUAAUGUUGAAAAAUUAUUUUUAAUAAUUAAAUUGAAAUGAAAUGUUAUUCGUUUUUAAUGAUAUCUAGUUUUUUAAUAAAUGAAUUUAAUUCAGAUAUUAAAAUUUAAUAAAUUUUAUUUUAAAAUUUAAUUUAUUUUAAUAUUAAAAUUUUAAGGGAUAAGCUUUAAAAUUUAUUUUUAUAAAUAAUAAUUUUAUUUUAUAAAUUUAUAGUCUUAGAAAUAGAUUUUAUUUAAAAAAUGUUAUAAUUUUUUUAUAUAAUUUAAUAAUUUUAUUAAAAUUUUAAAAUAUUUAUUAAAAUAUUUUAUUUAUUUAAAAUUUAAAAUUAAUAAUGAUUUAAUUAGUAAAUUUUAUUUUUUGUUAAUUUAAUUUAUUAAUUGAAAGGUUAAUAAAAGGAAUUCGGCAAAAAUUUUUACUCGCCUGUUUAUCAAAAACAUGUCUUUUUGAAUUUAAUUUAAAGUCUAAUCUGCUCAAUGAAAUUUUUAAAUGGCCGCAGUAUCUUGACUGUGCAAAGGUAGCAUAAUAAUUUGUCUUUUAAUUGAAGGCUGGAAUGAAAGAUUGAACGAGGUAAAAACUGUCUCUUAUUUAAUUAAUAGUUGAAUUUAAUUUUUAAGUUAAAAAGCUUAAAUUUAUUUAAAGGACGAGAAGACCCUAUAGAGUUUUAUUAUAUUUUUUAUAUUUAAUUUUAAUUAAUAUAAUUUUUAUUUUAAAAUAUAAUUUUAUUGGGGCGAUAAAAAAAUUGAAUAAACUUUUUUAAUAUAUUAACAUUUAUUAAUGAUUUUAUUGAUCCUAUUUUUUAGAUUAAUAGAUUAAAUUACCUUAGGGAUAACAGCGUUAUUUUUUUUAGAGUUCUUAUCGAUAAAAAAGAUUGCGACCUCGAUGUUGGAUUAAAAUUUAAAUUUGGUGUAGAAGCUAAUAUUUUAAGUCUGUUCGACUUUUGAAAUUUUACAUGAUCUGAGUUCAAACCGGUGUAAGCCAGGUUGGUUUCUAUCCUUAAAUAAAUUAAAAAUUUUUAGUACGAAAGGACCAAAAUUUUUAAAUAAUUUAUAAAAUUAAAUGAAUUUUAUUAAUUAAUUUUU